AGACUGAGACUUGAUGGUCAAAACAUUGGCUUGACUUAUGUUGGUGCAAUGAAAAUGGUACCCACGGCUUCAAACUUUAGUCUUUAGAUUGAGACUUGAGACUGAACGUUGAUCCUUCUUGGUACCCACGGCUUUAAAAUCACUUAAACAUAUGGAUCAUGUUUGGUUUCUUGUUUCGGUCUUUAGACAAUAGUUACCCACGGCUUUAAAAGUUACAAGUCUUUAGACAGAGACUUGAGGGACAAGACAUUGGAUUGAGUUAUGACAAGUCUUUAGAUAGAGACUUGAGGGACAAAACAUUGGAUUGGGUUGUGACAAGUAUUUAGACUGAGACUUGAGGGACAAAACAUUGGCUUGAGUUAUGUUGGUGCAAUGAAAAUGGUACCCACGGCUUCAAACUUUAGUCUUUAGACUGAGACUUGAGACUGAACGUUGAUCAUUCUAGGUACCCACGGCUUUAAAAUCAUAAAGACAUAUGGAUCAUGUUUCGUUUCUUGUUUCGGUCUUUAGACAAUAGUUACCCACGGCUUUAAAAGUUACAAGUCUUUAGACAGAGACUUGAGGGACAAGACAUUGGAUUGAGUUAUGACAAGUCUUUAGAUAAAGACUUGAGGGACAAAACAUUGGAUUGGGUUGUGACAAGUCUUUAGAGUGAGACUUGAGGGACAAAACAUUGGCUUGAGUUAUGUUGGUGCACUGAAAAUGGUACCCACGGCUUCAAACUUUAGUCUUUAGACUGAGACUUGAGACUGAACGUUGAUCAUUCUUGGUACCCACGACUUUAAAAUCACAAAGACAUAUGGAUCAUGUUUGGUUUCUUGUUUCCGUCUUUAGACAAUAGUUACCCACGACUUUAAAAGUUACAAGUCUUUAGACAGAGACUUGAGGGACAAGACAUUGGAUUGAGUUAUGACAAGUCUUUAGACAAAGACUUGAGGGACAAAACAUUGGAUUGGGUUGUGACAACUCUUUAGACUGAGACUUGAGGGA
rnacentral:lncRNA from 1 species